rnacentral:lncRNA from 1 species
GGGAUCGGUAAACUAUAAGGUACCGUUUGGUUCGGGUAUAAGCAAGAACUAGCUAUUACAGGGAUAGGUACAAGUAUGGGGAUAAGAAAAAUAGCGUUUGGAUGAAAAUUGGGUUGUUCCCGAGGAUAAGAAAAAUAUUAGGAAGUUUUAUAUAGAAAAUGGAGGUGUUGGUGGGGAUAACCGAGAACUACUAUUCUCGGGUAAAAAUUAGCGUUUGGGUAUAAAGGGGGGGAUAAGGGCCUAUCCCUAU